rnacentral:lncRNA from 1 species
GGGACUGGGUUUCCAAUUUGUGCAGGUUCAGGCACAGUUUCCAUUUCUGGGAUGGGCUCAGGAGAAUUUGGAGUGGGGAUGGAUCGGGGUUUUCGGAUGACCAUCUUCUUCCGACGAGGUUGAAGAGUCUCUUCUAGUAGGGGAGGCUCAUUGAAUUCUGGUUCAUUUGUUUGAGGUUCAGCAUUGGUAGGGUUUUCUUCGGAGGAAGCUUCUAUCAGAGGAGUUUCAGUAGCCUCCGAAGAUUUUCCAGAUAGAAAUUCUUCAAAUUCCUUUAUUUUUGAGGAAUUCGGUCUGAUCAAAGAUACUGCAAAAAGUAAACAGUCCUGCAUCAGAAUUUAUAUUACAUGAAUUUCUAAAUAUUUGUACACAUAAGACAAAUCAAUUCUUACAUUUAUGGUCGUAUAGCCAUGCUUGCUUGGUAAGAAGUAAAUAAUGCCAUUCCUUCGAGGGGAAAUUCUCGAAGAGCUCUACCAUUUCAUUUUCUCUUUCUUCUGAGAUAUCUCCGAAAUCAGCAAAAACUUUUUCGUGUGUAACCCAG